UACGGAGGGUGCGAGCGUUGUCCGGAAUCACUGGGCGUAAAGGGCGCGUAGGCGGCGCGGGCAGUCAACGGUGAAAGCUUGGGGCUCAACCCCGAGUCGGCCGUCGAUACUCCCGGGCUGGAGCACUGUAGAGGCAGGUGGAAUUCCGGGUGUAGCGGUGAAAUGCGUAGAUAUCUGGAGGAACACCGGUGGCGAAGGCGGCAUCCUGGACCAACACUGACGCUGAGUGAGCGAAAGCCAGGGGAGCAAACGGG
rnacentral:rRNA from 1 species